CUCAUUUCUCCACCUUUUGGCUCAGAUCAAGUGUAGUAUCUGUUCUUAACAGUUUAACAUCUGAUACAUUCUCUAUCCAAGGACAGUAUAUUAGAAUCUGAAAAGGAGUGGAUAUAUGUAUAUGUAUAACUGUUUCACUUUGCUAUACAUGUGAAACUAACACAACUUUU
ensembl:snRNA U2 U2 spliceosomal RNA